rnacentral:misc_RNA from 1 species
GAUGAAGAACGUAGCGAAAUGCGAUACGUAAUGUGAAUUGCAAAUUCAGUGAAUCAUCGAGUCUUUGAACGCACAUUGCGCCCCCUGGUAUUCCGGGGGGCAUGCCUGUCCGAGCGUCAUUGCUGCCCUCAAGCACGGCUUGUGUGUUGGGCCCCGUCCUCCGAUCCCGGGGGACGGGCCCGAAAGGCAGCGGCGGCACCGCGUCCGGUCCUCGAGCGUAUGGGGCUUUGUCACCCGCUCUGUAGGCCCGGCCGGCGCUUGCCGAUCAACCCAAAUUUUUAUCCAGGUUGACCUCGGAUCAGGUAGGGAUACCCGCUGAACUUAAGCAUAUCAAUCAGCGGAGGA